AUUUAGUAGUAUGUACGUUUAUUUUCUACUAUAAAGUAAAAAUAGUCUGGCAACUGGCAAUAAUUUUAGUUGACAUUGACAUAAAAGUUGUUCUCUAGUCUGUUCGUUCUUUUUGACAACUCUUUUUCGGCGAGCCGUGUUAGCGGAACAAGCUCGCCAAGAUGGUGAACAACCGAGUACCGUCGGUAUUCUCGAAGACGUACGUGACGCCUCGCCGUCCGUUCGAGAAGGCGCGUCUCGACCAGGAGCUUAAGAUCAUCGGCGAGUAUGGUCUGCGCAACAAGCGUGAAGUGUGGCGCGUCAAGUACACGCUCGCUCGCAUCCGGAAGGCUGCCCGUGAGCUGCUGACCCUUGAGGAGAAGGACCCUAAGAGACUGUUUGAAGGUAACGCACUCCUGCGUCGUCUCGUCAGGAUCGGAGUGUUGGAUGAGAAGCAGAUGAAGCUCGAUUACGUGCUCGGUCUGAAGAUUGAGGACUUCUUGGAGCGCCGUCUGCAGACCCAGGUCUUCAAGGCUGGUCUUGCCAAGUCUAUCCAUCACGCCCGUAUUCUCAUCAGGCAAAGACACAUCCGGUAAGACUGGUUUUUAUGAAUUUUGUGACAAGAUACAUAUUAAUUCUGAUGGUGAUUGACUAUCUGGAUUUAUUCCAAACAGAAAUAACAUUAAAAUCAAAUGCAGGUGAUCACGUGCGCGUGCGGCGAUAGCUGCUCGGCUCUGAAUUGUUUUCUAAAAGACCACUUGGCUCCCAACCCAGUUGGGGUCAAUGUCUUGAAAUGUUUAUAAGCUCUUUGUGAGCGUUACUCAGCGUCCGCAAGCAAGUGGUGAACAUUCCUUCGUUCAUCGUCCGCCUCGACAGCGGCAAACACAUCGACUUCUCUCUGAAGUCACCGUUCGGCGGCGGCAGGCCCGGCCGCGUCAAGAGGAAGAACUUGCGCAAGGGACAGGGUGGCGGCGCCGCAGCCGACGAGGAGGAAGAUUAGACCAAUAAAUGACGUGUUUAUAAUCUAA